rnacentral:tRNA from 1 species
GACUCGCUAGCUCAGUAGGUAGAGCACUUCACUUUUAAUGAAGGGGUCUCGGGUUCGAACCCCGAGCGGGUUACCA